GUGCUGUCUUCGGCAGCACAUAUACUAAAAUUAUAAUGAUACAGAGAAGAUUAGUAUGGCCCCGUGAAAGGUGACAUGAACAUUCGUGGAGCGUUCUACAGUUAA